UGUCCUUUCAGCCACAGAGUACUACAACACAGUUACUGUUAGCAGGUGGUACUACAACACAGUUACUAUUAGCAGGUGGUACUACAAAACAGUUACUGUUAGCAGGUGGUACUACAACACAGUUACUGUUAGCAGGUGGUGCUACAACACAGUUACUUACUGUUAGCAGGUGGUACUACAACACAGUUACUUACUGUCAGCAGGUGGUACUACAACACAGUCACUAUUAGCAGGUGGUCCUACAACACAGUUACUGUUAGCAGGUGGUGCUACAACACAGUUACUGUUAGCAGGUGGUGCUACAACACAGUUACUGUUAGCAGGUGGUGCUACAACACAGUUACUGUUAGCAGGUGGUCCUACAACAAAGUUACUGUUAGCAGGUGGUGCUACAACACAGUUACUGUUAGCAGGUGGUGCUACAACACAGUUACUGUUAGCAGGUGGUGCUACAACACAGUUACUUACUGUUAGCAGGUGGUACUACAACACAGUUACUGUUAGCAGGUGGUGCUACAACACAGUUACUGUUAGCAGGUGGUGCUACAACACAGUUACUUACUGUUAGCAGGUGGUACUACAACACAGUUACUGUUAGCAGGUGGUCCUACAACACAGUUACUGUUAGCAGGUGGUAAAACACAGUUACUGUUAAUAGGUGGUACUACAACACAGUUACUUACUGUUAGCAGGUGGUACUACAACACAGUUACUUACUGUUAGCAGGUGGUACUACAACACAGUUACUUACUGUUAACAGGUGGUACUAUAACACAGUUACUUACUGUUAACAGGUGGUACUACAACACAGUUACUUACUGUUAGCAGGUGGUACUACAACACAGUUACUUACUGUUAACAGGUGGUACUACAACACAGUUACUUACUGUUAACAGGUGGUACUACAACACAGUUACUUACUGUUAACAGGUGGUACUAUAACACUGUUACUUACUGUUAGCAGGUGGUACUACAACACAGUUACUCUUAGCAGGUGGUGCUACAACACAGUUACUGUUAAUAGGUGGUACUACAACACAGUUACUGUUAGCAGGUGGUACUACAACACAGUUACUUACUGUUAGCAGGUGGUGCUACAACACAGUUACUGUUAGCAGGUGGUGCUACAACACAGUUACUGUUAGCAGGUGGUGCUACAACACAGUUACUGUUAGCAGGUGGUGCUACAACACAGUUACUUACUGUUAGCAGGUGGUCCUACAACACAGUUACUGACAGCAGGUGGUACUAUAACACAGUUACUUACUGUUAACAGGUGGUACUACAACACAGUUACUGUUAGCAGGUGGUACUACAACACAGUUACUGUUGGCAGGUGGUACUACAACACAGUUACUCUUAGCAGGUGGUACUACAACACAGUUACUGUUAAUAGGUGGUACUACAACACAGUUACUGUUAGCAGGUGGUACUACAACACAGUUACUUACUGUUAGCAGGUGGUGCUACAACACAGUUACUGUUAGCAGGUGGUGCUACAACACAGUUACUGUUAGCAGGUGGUACUACAACACAGUUACUGUUAGCAGGUGGUACAACAACACAGUUACUGUUAGCAGGUGGUGCUACAACACAGUUACUUACUGUUAGCAGGUGGUGCUACAACACAGUUACUGUUAGCAGGUGGUAGAACAACACAGUUACUGUUAAUAGGUGGUACAACAACACAGUUACUGUUAACAGGUGGUACUACAACACAGUUACUUACUGUUAGCAGGUGGUACUACAACACAGUUACUUACUGUUAACAGGUGGGACUACAACACAGUUACUGUUAAUAGGUGGUACUACAACACAGUUACUGUUAGCAGGUGGUACUACAACACCGUUUCUUACUGUUAGCAGGUGGUGCUACAACACAGUUACUGUUAGCAGGUGGUACAACAACACAGUUACUGUUAGCAGGUGGUGCUACAACACAGUUACUUACUGUUAGCAGGUGGUACUACAACACAGUUACUGUUAGCAGGUGGUACUACAACACAGUUACUGUUAGCAGGUGGUACAACAACACAGUUACUGUUAGCAGGUGGUGCUACAACACAGUUACUUACUGUUAGCAGGUGGUACUACAACAUAGUUACUGUUAGCAGGUGGUCCUACAACACAGUUACUUACUGUUAGCAGGUGGUACUACAACACAGUUACUGUUAGCAGGUGGUGCUACAACACAGUUACUUACUGUUAGCAGGUGGUACUACAACAUAGUUACUGUUAGCAGGUGGUCCUACAACACAGUUACUUACUGUUAGCAGGUGGUGCUACAACACAGUUACUGUUAGCAGGUGGUGCUACAACACAGUUACUGUUAGCAGGUGGUCCUACAACACAGUUACUUACUGUUAGCAGGUGGUGCUACAACACAGUUACUUACUGUUAGCAGGUGGUCCUACAACACAGUUACUGUUAGCAGGUGGUCCUACAACACAGUUACUUACUGUUAGCAGGUGGUGCUACAACACAGUUACUUACUGUUAACAGGUGGUAGGCUUAGGCUCAGACUGAAUUUCUCCAGACUGUGGUUGUACGGUAAUGAACCAUUUUCACUACAGCCUCUGUUUACAGUGGUAGUGAAGGUGGUAACUAGGGGACAUUGUCCUUCCCUCCCGAUGCCCAGGGUAAGUGUUUCCAGAAAGUGAAGAUUAAUGCCGAGUCAGGUCACAUGGUGCUGCUUGGAUACGGUAGACAUGUUUUUGGAC